AACGCACCUUGCGCCUUGUGGUAUUCCGCAAGGCACGCCUGUUUGAGUGUCAUGUUAUCACUCACUCUUGAGAAGUCACAUUCUUUGAGAGUGGAUUUGGGUGUUGCUGGUGAUUACAUCGGCUCGCCUUGAAAUGCAUUAGUGGUGUGAUUGGCCACGGACCUGAGGGUGUGAUACUUGAUGUUACGCCUGUGUUGUCUGAGUGCCCGCAUUGCUCAAAACCUGACGUGUUCUGCAUGUCAAUUCUUUAAUGAAAGACCUCAAAUCAGGUGGGACUACCCGCUGAACUUAA
rnacentral:misc_RNA from 1 species